rnacentral:rRNA from 1 species
UAGCGGAGCGUGUGGUUUAAUUCGACGAUACGCGAAGAACCUUACCUGGGUUUGACAUCAAGGUAGUAGCAAGGUGAAAGCUGCGCGACCCUUCGGGGAGCCUUGACAGGUGCUGCAUGGCUGUCGUCAGCUCGUGUCGUGAGAUGUUGGGUUAAGUCCCGCAACGAGCGCAACCCCCGUCGUUAGUUACAAGUGUCUAACGAGACUGCUGGUUUCAAACCGGAGGAAGGUGGGGAUGACGUCAAGUCAGCAUGGUCUUUAUAUCCAGGGCUACACACACGCUACAAUGGCCGGUACAAUUGGUUGCCACACCGCAAGGUGGAGCUAAUCCUCAAAGCCGGUCUCAGUUCAGAUUGUCGUCUGCAACUCGACGGCAUGAAGGCGGAGUUGCUAGUAACCGCAUAA